GAUGAACGCUAGCGGCAGGCUUAAUACAUGCAAGUCGAGGGGCAGCGCAGUGUAGCAAUACAUGGGCGGCGACCGGCAAACGGGUGCGGAACACGUACGCAACCUUCCUUUAACUGGGAGAUAGCCCACCGAAAGGUGGAUUAAUAUCCCAUAGUAUAUUUGAGUGGCAUCACUUAGAUAUUAAAGCUCCGGCGGUUAAAGAUGGGCGUGCGUCUGAUUAGGUAGUUGGCGGGGUAACGGCCCACCAAGCCCACGAUCAGUAGCUGAUGUGAGAGCAUGAUCAGCCACACGGGCACUGAGACACGGGCCCGACUCCUACGGGAGGCAGCAGUAAGGAAUAUUGGUCAAUGGACGCAAGUCUGAACCAGCCAUGCCGCGUGGAGGAUGAAGGUCCUCUGGAUUGUAAACUUCUUUUCUUUGGGACGAAACCCCUGUUUCUACGGGGACUGACGGUACCAGAGGAAUAAGCACCGGCUAACUCCGUGCCAGCAGCCGCGGUAAGAC
rnacentral:rRNA from 1 species